rnacentral:tRNA from 1 species
GGUGCAGUGGUCUAAGACACUGCAUUUCAAUGCAGUCCCUGGUUCGAAUCCAGGCUGCAUCA